rnacentral:lncRNA from 1 species
GGGGGGGGACACACACAAAGCCAUUGGGAUGAGUGGGGGGGCACAGCACCAUAACCGCCCCCCCCCCAUAUCACAGCACCCCAUAGGGAUGGAGACAAUGGGGAACCCCAUAAGGACAGCCCCAAUGGGGGGACACAAAUGGGACCCCCCCCCAGGAGAAGCACAUUGUGCCAUAGAGACACUCAAAUGAUGCCCCCCCCACCCCAUGGCCAUAAGGGACCCUUUAUCCGCCCCCACCUCCCCCCCCCAACUGACGUCACUGUGCCCUAUAGCGUGGUUGUGGGGUGGGGGGGGGUCGUGGUGCCCCACAAUGGGCCCUUUGUGGAGGGCGGGGGUGGGGGGCACCGUGGGGCAGCGCUGUGGGGUGGAGCUGCCAUGGCCCCAAAUGGACCCUGGGGUGGGGGUGGGCAGAAACAGGCAGCUCCCAGUGCCACCAUACCAGUAUAGCCCAGUAUAUCCCAGUAUGUCCCAGUAUAUCCCAGUAUGUCCCAUUCCAUCCCAUAUAUCCCAUAUAUCUCAUAUAUCCCAGUAUGUCCCAGAGCCACCAUCCCAGUAUAUCCCAGUAUGUCCCAGUAUAUCCCAGUAUAUCCCAGUAUAUCCCAGUAUGUCCCAGUAUGUCCCAUUCCAUCCCAUAUAUCCCAUAUAUCUCAUAUACCCCAGUAUAUCCCAGUGCCUCCAUCCCAGUAUAUCCCAGUAUAUCCCAUUCCAUCCCAUAUAUCCCAUAUAUCUCAUAUACCCCAGUAUAUCCCAGUGCCUCCAUCCCAGUAUAUCCCAGUAUAUCCCAGUAUAUCCCAGUAUAUCCCAGUAUAUCCCAGUAUAUCCCAUUAUAUCCCAGUAUAUCCCAGUAUAUCCCAGUGCCUCCAUCCCAGUAUAUCCCAGUAUAUCCCAGUCCACCCCAGUGCAUCCCAGUGCCACUAUCCCAGUGUGUCCCAUCCCAUCCCAGUAUGUCCCAGUACAUCCCAGUGUGUCUCACCCCAGUACAUCCCAUCCCAUCCCAGUACAUCCAUCCCAGUAUGUCCCGGUCCCAUCAUCCCAGUAUAUCCCAGUCCAUCCCAGUAUAUCCCAUUGCCACCCUCCCAGUCCAUCCCAGUUCAUCCCAGUUCCAUCCCAGUUUAUCCCAGUUUAUCCCAGUCCCAUCCCAGUUUAUCCCAGUUUAUCCCAGUUUAUCCCAUUGCCACCAUUCCAGUAUAUCCCAGUAUAUCCCAGUGCCAUCGUCCCAGUGUAUCCCAGUGCCUCCAUCCCAGUGUAUCCCAGUAUAUCCCAGUAUAUCCCAGCCCAUCCCAGCAUAUCCCAUUGCCACCCUCCCAGCAUAUCCCAGUGCCUCUGUUCCAGUAUAUCCCAUUGCCUCCAUCCCAGUAUAUCCCAGUGUAUCCCAGUACCACCCUCCCAGUAUAUUGCAGUGUAUACCAGUAUAUCUCAUUGCCACCAUCCCAGUAUAUCCCAGUACAUCCCAGUCCAUCCCAGUCCAUCCCAGUCCAUCCCAGUCCAUCCCAGUCCAUCCCAGUCCAUCCCAGUCCAUCCCAGUACAUCCCAGUAUCACCAUCCCAGUAUAUCCCAGUGUAUCCCAGUACCUCCUUCCUAGUGUAUCCCAUUGCCACCACCCCAGUGUAUCCCAGUGUAUCCCAGUACCACUCUCCCAGUAUAUCCUAUUGCCACCACCCCAGUAUAUCCCAGUAU